UACGUAGGCAGCAAGCGUUGUUCGGAAUUACUGGGCGUAAAGAGUGUGUAGGCGGUGCUCUAAGUCUGUUGUGAAAUCUCCCGGCCUAACUGGGAGGGUGCGGCGGAGACUGGAGUGCUAGAGUGUGGGAGAGGUAAGCGGAAUUCCUGGUGUAGCGGUGAAAUGCGUAGAUAUCGUAAGGAAGACCAGUGGCGAAGGCGGGUCUCUGGACAGUUCCUGACGCUGAGGCACGAAGGCCAGUGGAGCAAACGGG
rnacentral:rRNA from 1 species